rnacentral:hammerhead_ribozyme from 1 species
AUCCAGCUGAGGAGUCCCAAAUAGGACGAAACGUGCGUCCUGGAU